AUGAUUACUGGUGGCCAGCGGAGAGACAGAUUAUACAGCUCUACACAACUGUUGUUUUAAUCCCCUGAGCGGGGAGAUUUAGCAAAGAAAAAACACUGGUUCUAAACCCAGCAGCCAUAUUGUAUGGAAAACGGAACGAAAGACUCUUCUUUUCAGAAAAAAGGCGUUUUGUCAAACACCUCUGUCAAGACUUCUGGGGGAGUUUAAUUCUCUUUCUCUCUGGCGGUGGGUUUCUGUCGGACAGCUAGCUUGCCAGCUGGCUGAGGAAUUCAGAGAUUGGGACUAGUUUUUUAGCCAUUUUACGCAAUAUUGUGGUUAUUUCUUUGGUUUAAAGGUGUGAAAUUAACCGUUUAAAAGAUGAAGGACCGAUUGGAGCAACUUAAAGCGACAUGCGAUCAAGAUGAUGACGAGGUGGAGAUUGCCAUGGACAACGCAGCCUUCAUGGACGAGUUCUUCUGUCAGAUUGAGGACAUCAGGAACAGCAUUGAUAAAAUUGAUGAAAAUGUGGCUGAAGUCAAAAAGCUUUACUCGGUCAUCCUGUCUGCUCCCACAUCAGAUCAGAAAACACAGGAUGAUUUGGAGGCAAUCACCAAUGACAUAAAAAAGAUGGCCAACAACGCAAGAAACAAACUAAAGACCAUCGAGAGGAAUCUGGAGUCAGAAGAGCAGGAGAGGGUGUCAGCUGACAUGCGGAUACGUAAAUCACAGCAUGCAGUGCUGUCCAGGAAAUUUGUGGAGGUCAUGACAAAGUAUAAUGAGGCCCAAGUGGACUUCCGGGAGAGGAGUAAAGGACGUAUUCAGAGACAGCUAGAGAUCACUGGAAAAGCAACAACAGAUGAAGAACUGGAGGAGAUGUUGGAGAGUGGCAAUGCUGCUGUAUUCACUGCAGGGAUCGUGGACUCUGGGAUCUCUAAACAAGCUCUGAGUGAGAUUGAAGCCAGACACAAAGACAUUGUCCGUCUGGAAAGUAGCAUCAAGGAGCUGCAUGAUAUGUUUGUAGACAUCGCCAUGCUGGUGGAGAGCCAGGGUGACAUAGUAGACAACAUUGAGCAGAACGUAUCCAAAUCAGUGGACCAUGUAACAGUGGCCAAGGAACAGACCAAAAAAGCUGUAAGGUACCAGACCAAAGCACGCAAGGUAAUGUUAUUUAGCCAGCUGCUGCACCAGUCUGCUCGUGGCCUCUUCCUGUUCUUGAGACAUUACGCUUUUUUCACUGUCAGACACAUUUAAACCACACAGUGUCCCGACAGAUCACACUCCCUCGCCCUGCAGGCACACACACACACACACUUGUUGCAGUCUGUGUGCUUGUCUUUUUGUUUUUCGCUCUCUUUCCCUGCCGCUUUGUUACGUAUUUUCUUUUUGUUGCUUUUCGUCACCUCUGACACUGCGCCCCGUGUUAGGGUGGAAUGAUUGACAGGAUUGAGAGCAACAUGGACCAGUCAGUGGGCUUUGUGGAGCGGGCCGUAGCAGACACUAAGAAAGCGGCAAAGUUCCAGCAAGAGGCUCGACGUGUGAGUGACUACAGUCAGGAAGAGCGGUCCGGUUUCCCAAAAGCAAUGGAAAUAAUCAUUUACAAAACAACAGCGAUUAGCCUGUUAGAUCAGUGGAUUUUUUGUUUGUUUAACAGAGAGUACAAAGAACUAAAUUGGAUACCACAGAACAAUGAUUGAGUGUGAGUUCACAAGACUGGCCGAGGAGAAUAUAAUUGAGGAGUACAGUCUAUGUAUCUUAAGUUUUGCAGCAACACAAUGUAACUUAAUUCAGUAAGUUGCAGUAUUGGCCAAUCAAAUCCAUGCAAGCACACAUUCCUGGUAGAUUACUUUGUAACAUAAAUACCACAUUUCUUCUGUUUACCUUCCAAUCAUCACGACGUAAGACAAAAUGGUUAUUGUUGUGAUAAAUGAAAGAGUUGUUCAGUGUAGUUUUAUGAUAAGUGGAAAGAACUGAAAUUCCUCUUUAACACAAAGAUGCUUUUGGGAAACCUGCCUGACACCAUGGAGUCCACCCCCACCAAUCAAGACCCUGAUCUUUGCCUUGAUCCUGACCUGUGAUGACCCCCAACCCUCCUACCUGCUCUGCUCCUGAGCCUCCACCACCCUGUGGCCUGUGGACCCCUGUGCUUUCAAAACCACCCAUCUGUCUGGCACCAAGACCCUCCCCCUCCCACCUACGUACUCACACACACAUACACACACUCGCUGACAGCUUCCACACUCUCUUUUCUCUUUUCUCUUCUGAAAUUUGACUUUGUGUACAGUCGGCUCACGACUGCUGCGUUAUCCUUUUGGUUUUGUCUGUGUUUGAAGAUGUUGCCUGUUGGCCUCAGGCUGGUACAACAUGCGUGUGAAAAUAACUUUUGUAUUAACAGGUUAACAUGAAGUCAACACCGUUGUGCCAAGACAAAACUGGUCUAUCAGACUUGAGCAAGAUUGAUGCACUGAGUUUGUGUGGUUACCUAGCUACAAAGAGAAGAAAUGUCAUAUGACACGCCCAUUGUUGCAUAUACUGAACAUAUUCCUUAACACAAAACUGGUACAAAUACUAUGUCACUGCAGUAGCAGAUUACAUAAUUGUUGUACAUAUGCAUAGAUGAAGGAUAAACAUGAUGCUGUUUCCCACUGAGAAUAGUCCUGAUGGUACUGUUUGUACUUGGUUGUUCCCAACAGAAAGUGGUGAUAAUAGUGGUGGUUGUGCUGGUCUUGUUGGCCUUGCUAGCUCUCAUAAUCGGGUUGUCAGUGGGACUGAAGCAAAGCUGAUCAGCUAUUUGAAUAAGAGGAGAGCUAAUGAAGAUGAUCAUUAUCGGUGUGGUCUGUGCUGUGAUUGUUGUCAUCCUCCUCAUUGUUAUCCUCACCCAGACACUAUAGCAGGACCGCUGUCCUGUUGCCAUCAUCAGUCUAUUCAUCAUCAUCAUCAUCGCCCACCAGCUGGCCGCCAAAGAUAAAGACUUAUAAUCACUCCAUAUGGAUAUAACAAUGUUUAACCCGCAGAUGUACAACUCGUCAGUUAAGAAAAAAACACCUGAAGGUCGAAUGCUAUGUUUGCCCUCUGAGAAGAAGAAGACCUAAGAGACUUGUGAUGAUUAUAAAAACUUUUUGUCCAAUCAGAACCGUCCUUCCUGGUCUGUGGGAGUCUGUUUGACUCCCUCAGGUGGUUUGGACAGUUUGAGGAUGCUCUGCUGCAAAUGAGGAAAUGAGACUGAAGCUGACAUGAGGUACAGUACCUAUUGUAUCUCUGCGAAGGGGAAAAGGGAAUUGAAAAAUCAUGACAUCACCCCAGUGUCAGUAAACAUUUCAUUGUUCAACACUUGGUGCCAAAGAAUCAGCCUGGAAGUGUUUGUCAUCAGAAGUUUGUGAGGCCUUGUAGAAGCACAUCACCUCCCGCAUCAUUAUUUCUUACGUUUAUGAGCCUUGACACAUUUUGUGAUCAACAUGCUAGCUACUGUAUGUUCACUGUAUUGGGAUUAUGUUGUUUUUUGACGGGGUUCCAGCACUUUCACGUUUCAAAAUGUCUUAUUUCUGUAAUUAUUCAGAUUAUCAUGUAAAUAACAGAAUUAUUAUAUUGUGUGUUGUCGAUAUCUUGCCCUGAAUGUGCCGCGGUUCUUAAACUUGAAGAGGAUCGGUAUGCUCGCUUAUGAUUCUUCAAAACAAGGAGCCCAGUGGUUCGGAUUUUUAAAUGUGAAGGAUGGUGCUCAUGGAAACACAUCUCAUGGACAGGUGGAGCUAAGAUAAGCAAACAAGCAAAAAAAAAAAAAAAAGAAAAAAGAGGACAGAGAUACAAGCUCGGGGGAUAAACAUGCAUUCCUUGCUUGAAGAUUUAUCUAAACACUGCAACAGCUAGGACCUUUGCUUUUGUAUCUUUGCUUAACUAUUACAAUGUUAGCCCUCUUGACCUUUUGCAAAUAUAGACAGGAUUGUCUCCCUUUUAAAAUGCUGUAAAAAACAUAGUGUUUUAAUGCCAAAGAGAGAUUGGUAGUAACACUAUCGUUUCCCCCCUAAGAGCCAGAAUAGUAUAUAUAUUCUACCUUUUGAUGACGUUGCACAUAAAGGAUGAGGUGUAAAUGGACUUUAGAUAUACUUUACAACUCAGCUGCUAGUUUAUUAGGUACAGUUGUCUGAAAUUCAUACAGUUCAACAGCAACACUGAGUACAACUUCCAAAAAGACCAUGAAGUAGAAUCGGCACAUUCCCUAGUCUUAGUCUUGAAAUUUUGUGCAUAAACUUCAAUUUUAUCUAUCCAUGACAAAAUCUGAUAUGUUUUAUUAUGCAAGUGUAUGUCAAUAAACCAAACCAAAUUAAGGUUUUUAUUGGAUUGCAUUAGUUUUAGCUGUGUGUACCUCAUAAAUUAGGAACUGAGUUUAAUUCUGAUUGGUCAUCAUCAUUUCAUUAGGCCUUGUCUUCUUGGUAGAAGGAGUGUAGAUGUUGUCACCCAGAGGCGUUAAUAGGUCAGUUAAAGCAGGUGAUUCCAGCUGUGCAAACAAGGACUGUAUCAGAGACACGGUGUCCAGUCAUGAAAGAGGAGAGCCAAGAUAAUCCAACACGUAUAUUGUAGCACAGAGACAGAAAAUGUGCUGUGUGUUAUGAAGGCCGUCAUCUCUGAGGGAAGUCUUUGUUUCUGUGAGAUUGGAGCCUGAAUCUGCUCUUUUAGCCUCUGUCCUUAAAAGUUCAAUCCUAAUGUUUCUAUUCAAGCCUUUUUCUUCACACCACGUCAGCCAUCAGCACGGGCUGCAAUAAGAGAAGGUGAAGAAUUCUGUGUACACUUUUACAUUAAGGUGCCAAUGAUUUUAAUGGAAAUUAAAGAUUUUAUGUUUUUUAAUGGCUGGUUGACUCGUGUUUACUUUGCGAUCUCAUGCCUGCCUGCCUGUCCUGCCAUGCUUCAUAAAUAUGUAACGAAAUUUUUACACUUUUUGAUGACUGCAUGUUAUAUAAGAGCUGUGUGCAUGUUUUUUUUAUGGGAUGCAGUAGCUGUUGUCAGCAUAUUUUUUGAUGCAGAAUGUUAACCACCAUGUUGAUGCCUUUUUAAAAAAAAAAAUGGUGCGGAAGAGGAGGUAAGAGAGUUUAUUUUUCUUCACCUUUCCUGUCUCUUUACACAUAAAUACACACACCCUAACCUCUGAGACCCUUUGUUCUCCUUUCGCUCAGUCAUUUCCUCAAACCAGUGUGUCCAUAAAUGUGAAUAAUUGCAUCGUGUUUGGCUACAACUCAUGAAUUAAAGCCUCAGUCCAGUGAUUGCUGUUGUCUGAUUACUGUCUAUUUUGGAUUAAAUCCACAGAAAAAGAUGAUGAUUACAUUGUGCUGCGCCAUCAUUGGAAUCGUUGGGUUCUCCUAUCUCUACAGCUUCUUCUCAUAAAAGGUUUUACACAGAGUGUUUCUGGGAAACGGGGUUUCAAGAGAAAGAAAAUUUCCUGAGGUGCUCCCUCUUUUUUACCCUCACCAUGAUUUCAAUCUGUUUAAAAAACUAAUAAGGUAUUAGAAAUUGAUCCAUAUCAAUCCUGUGCACUUACCCCUCUAUUAAUCAUUAGAAUUUAAAUUAUUUCUUGCUGUAUGGAGUGUUUGGAAACGUGUUAUAAAUGUGUAGCUUUUUCUCAGUCUGCAUGAUCACAACCAGAUGGCUCAACGUGAGACUUUGAAUCAUUUUGGACAUCUCUGGUCGGCCGUAGUCUGUCGCCUCCUGGUGGUGCAUUGAGGGGACAAUCAUAUUUAGAGGAACUACAAUUAUCAGGAAAUGAUUAAAAAGAAUUAAUUUAAGCAAAAAUGCAUGAAGGUGAUUUUUGUGCAGUCUGUGAUCCAAAAGUCCAUUUAUGCAGAUUCACAUUAUUAUGCUCUCUGGUCAAAGAUGUCCAAUUAAGUAUUAUUUUCUGACUUGUUUGUUGUUAUAAUUUGAAUAAAUUGUGCGUGACUUCGUUGUGUGUGCUCUGUCUGUAUGUCUGUGCUGCUGAAU